rnacentral:rRNA from 1 species
UACAGAGGGUGCAAACGUUGCUCGGAAUCAUUGGGCGUAAAAGGGCGUGUAGGCGGUUUGUUAAGUCAUGUGUGAAAUCCCUCGGCUCAACCGGGGAACGACGCAUGAAACUGGCAAGCUAGAGUACCAAAGAGGGGGGUGGAAUUCCCGGUGUAGCGGUGAAAUGCGCAGAGUUCGGGAGGAACACCAAUGGCGAAAGCGAAGGUACCUGG